GAAUCCUUAGUGGCGCACUAACGCACUAAGUUGACCGCCUGGGGAGUACGGCCGCAAGGUUAAAAAAAAAAUGAAUUGACGGGGGCCCGCACAAGCGGUGGAGCAUGUGGUUUAAUUCGACGCAACGCGAAGAACCUUACCUGGCCUUGACAUCCUGCGAACCUUCUAGAGAUAGAUUGGUGCCUUCGGGAACGCAGUGACAGGUGCUGCAUGGCCGUCGUCAGCUCGUGUCGUGAGAUGUUGGGUUAAGUCCCGUAACGAGCGCAACCCCUAUCCCUAGUUGCUAGCAUUUUUUUUCUGAGAACUCUAGGGAGACUGCCGGUGACAAACCGGAGGAAGGUGGGGAUGACGUC
rnacentral:rRNA from 1 species